rnacentral:rRNA from 1 species
GCCUACUACCAUAUCACCCUGAAUGCGCCCGAUCUCGUCUGAUCUCGGAAGCUAAGCAUGGUCGAGCCUGGUUAGUACUUGGAUGGGAGACUGCCUGGGAAAGAAGGCCGCGCCUGGGCU